rnacentral:lncRNA from 1 species
GGCUGUUAAUUACCAAACAUUCUUAGAUCACCUCAUUGCACAUCCAAGAAGGGGUCUUAAAUUUCUUUUUAAUAUAAAAUAAUAUUUUAAAAAAUAAAAAAUGAAGAAAGAUAAAAAAAAAAAUGUCUUCCCACAUACUUCUAACCAUCAGUUAAAGACACUAUGGUACUAUGUGUUGGUGAUCAAUGCGAUGCUGUGCUUGCUUAGGUGAAGGUUUAAUUGCACCAUUUAUUUGUUUACACACACCAAACACAUAUUCAAUCACCUAUAAAUGCUAUGAACCAGUUUUUAACAAUCGGCUUGUAAUUUUUUCUUCUCAUAUGAGGACUUGUUUUGGGAGUUCUGGAAGCACUAGCCCUCGCAUUAACAGUCCCAGCAGUACAUGCUCGCAGCUCGUCACAAGGUAUCUGACACUAAAACUUUUGCUCUUGUUUGCUAUUUUCCUGACUUACACACAAUGAAGAGGAGAACACAUAACUCUAUUCCAUUAUAGACAUUUAUAUUGUGCUGUUGUUGUUCUCAUAUACUCAAUGUAAGCAAAAUAAAUUCUAUUUAAUCUUUUUUUUUGUAAGCACCCUAUAAAUGUAGCAUUCCACCAUUGGAGAUACAAAAUUUACAUUUUAAAUCUUAAAGUUCUUAACCUUAAAAUUUUCAAAAUUUUAAGGUUAAAAAAUUUGGAGGUGGUUUUAGAGUUUUUAAUAAUUAAAUAUUUAUUUAAUUGAUUUAAUUUAAUUAUAAAGACACUCUAUUUGAGUAAGACUGAUAGAGACGCUCUUACGGGUUAUACCUUGGAACAUUAUGUUGAGUAUAUUGUAAUCUGGACUCAAUUUCCCCAAAAAAAUUAAAACAUAAUAUCAAAUUUGAGGUUUAUUUUUAGGUAUGUUCGCAUUAAGCACCCAUAAUUAUAAUUCUAGUAAUAAUAACCAAAGUCAAACGUUUGGCUUAGAUUGCACAACUACAACUAGGAUCGGAUCCGCGCUACAGCGCGGGGGAAUAUUCUCUAAUAUAUAAAUAAAAUCAUAUAUAUAAAGUAAGGUUUCACUCUCUCCUUAUUGGUCCAUUUGUA